UGGGGAAUCUUGGGCAAUGGGCGCAAGCCUGACCCAGCAAUACCGCGUGAGGGAUGAAGGCCUUCGGGUCGUAAACCUCUGUCAGUAGGAACGAUGGGUCUCCGGGCUAAUAUCCCGGAGACUUGACGGUACCUACAAAGGAAGCCCCGGCUAACUCCGUGCCAGCAGCCGCGGUAAUACGGAGGGGGCGAGCGUUGCUCGGAAUUACUGGGCGUAAAGGGUCCGCAGGUGGCCUCGUAAGUUAGAUGUGAAAUCUUAGGGCUUAACCCUGAAACUGCAUCUAAUACUGCAAGGCUUGAGUCCAGGAGAGGUUGGCGGAAUUCCCAAUGUAGGGGUGAAAUCCGUAGAUAUUGGGAGGAAUACCGGUGGCGAAGGCGGCCUUCUGGACGGUGACUGACACUCAGACGCGAAAGCGUGGGGAGCAAACAGGAUUAGAUACCCAUGUAGUCCCUGAGCGGGCUGGCAAGGCGCAU
rnacentral:rRNA from 1 species